rnacentral:rRNA from 1 species
GACCAUUUCUGGCGGCGUGCUUAACACAUGCAAGUCGAACGGAAAGGCCCUGCUUUUGUGGGGUGCUCGAGUGGCGAACGGGUGAGUAACACGUGAGUAACCUGCCCUUGACUUUGGGAUAACUUCAGGAAACUGGGGCUAAUACCGGAUAGGAGCUCCUGCUGCAUGGUGGGGGUUGGAAAGUUUCGGCGGUUGGGGAUGGACUCGCGGCUUAUCAGCUUGUUGGUGGGGUAGUGGCUUACCAAGGCUUUGACGGGUAGCCGGCCUGAGAGGGUGACCGGCCACAUUGGGACUGAGAUACGGCCCAGACUCCUACGGGAGGCAGCAGUGGGGAAUAUUGCACAAUGGGCGGAAGCCUGAUGCAGCAACGCCGCGUGCGGGAUGACGGCCUUCGGGUUGUAAACCGCUUUCGCCUGUGACGAAGCGUGAGUGACGGUAAUGGGUAAAGAAGCACCGGCUAACUACGUGCCAGCAGCCGCGGUGAUACUUAAGGUGCGAGCGUUGUCCGGAUUUAUUGGGCGUAAAGGGUUCGUAGGUGGUUGAUCGCGUCGGAAGUGUAAUCUUGGGGCUUAACCCUGAGCGUGCUUUCGAUACGGGUUGACUUGAGGAAGGUAGGGGAGAAUGGAAUUCCUGGUGGAGCGGUGGAAUGCGCAGAUAUCAGGAGGAACACCAGUGGCGAAGGCGGUUCUCUGGGCCUUUCCUGACGCUGAGGAGCGAAAGCGUGGGGAGCGAACAGGCUUAGAUACCCUGGUAGUCCACGCUGUAAACGGUGGGUACUAGGUGUGGGGUCCAUUCCACGGGUUCCGUGCCGUAGCUAACGCUUUAAGUACCCCGCCUGGGGAGUACGGCCGCAAGGCUAAAACUCAAAGGAAUUGACGGGGCCCCGCACAAGCGGCGGAGCAUGCGGAUUAAUUCGAUGCAACGCGUAGAACCUUACCUGGGUUUGACAUGGAUCGGGAGUGCUCAGAGAUGGGUGUGCCUCUUUUGGGGUCGGUUCACAGGUGGUGCAUGGCUGUCGUCAGCUCGUGUCGUGAGAUGUUGGGUUAAGUCCCGCAACGAGCGCAACCCUUGUUCACUGUUGCCAGCACGUUAUGGUGGGGACUCAGUGGAGACCGCCGGGGUCAACUCGGAGGAAGGUGGGGAUGACGUCAAGUCAUCAUGCCCCUUAUGUCCAGGGCUUCACGCAUGCUACAAUGGCUGGUACAGAGAGUGGCGAGCCUGUGAGGGUGAGCGAAUCUCGGAAAGCCGGUCUCAGUUCGGAUUGGGGUCUGCAACUCGACCUCAUGAAGUCGGAGUCGCUAGUAAUCGCAGAUCAGCAACGCUGCGGUGAAUACGUUCCCGGGGCU